CUGCUAAUAAUGAUCCGGACUCCCGACUUCAGUUGGAGUCCUUGAGGCAUUUCUGGUUGCCUCUGCACGAAAACCCAUAGAACCAAGCUUGACCACAGCGGUUCCAUUACCCUGUUUUGGGUUUGCAGCGUUUGUUAUGCCCUUUUAAAAGUUUCCACCUUUUUUGAUCUUUGUUCCCCAACGGUGAUUCUCUUGCGCCUUUUUUUUGUUCAGAGGGUUCCCUUCACCCAAGGCGACUAAGUUAAAAAAGUUCCAUCAAGACAGUUCCAACUUCCAAGAUUGGUACCUAUUGUUUCUCUGAUGAUUCAUGAUUAGACCCAUUGGUCGAUUUCUUGGAAGAGUUGCGUAGCUUCAUUCUUUACAAAAUUCCAGACAGAUUACAUGUUUUAGGUUUCGUGGGGCAUUGAUUCAAGUCUCAGUGAAUUGGGUCUUGUGCGGAAGAUGGUUGGGAGUCCAUGGGUUCAUCUCUCUACUUUCCCGCCUGUAUCGCGCACUCCACUGUUUGUCUUCCAGGGUGAGUCGUCGCGCAACUUCUUGCCAUAUAGACCGUUGAAGAAGAAGCUCGUUUACAUCCGAGCGAACUCAGCCGACACAGGACAGAGUCCACAGGCGUUGUCUUCUUCAGAAAGGAAGAACCCGCUUGCGGUUAUUUUGGAUGUUCCUGGGACUAUCUGGAGGCAAACUUUGCGUCCUCUUAGCGAUUUUGGGUUCGGUAAAAGAAGCAUUUGGGAGGGAGCUGUGGGGCUCUUUGUGGUUUCUGGGGCUAUUCUCUUCGGACUCAGUCUGGUUUGGCUGAGGGGUUUCUAUAUUAGAUCUCGAUCGAGGAAGUACCGGGCAGUGUUUGAAUUUUCUCAGGCUUGUGGCAUUUCUACGGGAACGCCAGUCAGGAUCAGAGGGGUGACAGUUGGCAAUGUGAUUCGUAUCAAUCCUUCCUUGAAAAGCAUUGAAGCGGUCGUUGAGGUUGAAGAUGAGAAUAAAAUCAUACCUCGGAAUGCACUGAUUGAGGUGAAUCAGUCUGGCCUUCUUAUGGAGACUUUGAUUGAUAUUACACCUCGGAAUCCACUUCCAGCACCCUCAGUGGGACCUCUUGAUCCUGAAUGUGUUAAAGAAGGUCUAAUUGUAUGUGACAGGCAAAAGAUAUGGGGAUGUCAAGGAGUAAGUUUGGAUGCAUUGGUUGGCAUAUUCACCCGCCUUGGUCGUGAAGUGGAAGAAAUCGGCAUUUCCAGAAGCUAUGAGUUGGCUGAACGAGUUGCAUCUAUUAUUCUAGAGGCAAAACCUCUCCUUGCGAAGAUAGAAGCCAUGGCUGAAGAUGUUCAUCCUUUGCUUGCUGAGGUUCGUAAUAUUGGUCUUUUGAAGGAAGUAGAGAGUUUAACCAGGAGCCUCACAGAAGCAGCUGUAGAUUUGAGGCCAUGUUCUUUGUAUUUUGCGUAUCAUCUGCCGAACCUUUUGCUGGACCUCCUACAAUGCAACCAUGGCUGGUGAUGUUGAGACUUGGUCACCAAUUGCUAUGGGGCAGUUACAGAAAAAUCCAAGUUUCAAGGGGCCCACACUGACUUCAUUGGUCAAGUUUCAGCCACAAAAACCAGGGGAAGUGCAUCAAAAUUCAAAAGAUGAAAUUUGACCUGUGAGUUGAGUGUGGAGUCCUCUACUUCAUGGGUUACCCAUGUCCAUCAUGUGACAAAUGGUGGCAAGUCUAAAUCACACUAACAUGGUGACAAGUCUAAAUCUCCACUAAUGCGGUGACAUUUUGGCUGUGUUUGGUUGUCUGCAUUGUGUGUGAAUGGUUUACUUAUAAUUGGUUUCUUACACGUAUUUGGUUGUUUGAGAAAGUGGUUACCUAAGGAAUUGUGCUUUUCCCUCCAACUCUCUCCUAAAAAAUAGAGAUAUUCAAGAAUCUGACCUGAAUGAUGUGAUUUUGUGAGAAUGUGUGAGACCUAAUGCAAUCCUGAGUUCCCAAACCCUGCUUUGGGAUUGCUAUGGGCUCACCGAGAUCAACGGUUCAAAAGCUAAGGGUAAUGGCAGUUGGUAAAUAGUCAGAAUUUUGAAAGGGUUGUUUCUAAGAUGGGCAAGGAUACAAAAGGGAUUUGUAUUUAAAGAAUAAGGCUAGACUAGGCAAUAAAAUAAGUUAAGGGCACAAACAAAAUUAAGAAUGAGGGGUAUUUUGGAAAGGAGAAGAUAUGAUGACAAAACAAAGAAAGAUGAAGUAAACUUAAACAAGUAAACUACUUUCUUAAGCAAAUCUCCUACAUAGCUAACUGAAAAUCAAACACUCUAAUAUAAAAGAUUACAAGACAACCCCAAGUAAUUAUCUCAUAAAUAUCCCACUAGAUGAGAAUUAAAUUCGUACCCAGUUCAUCUCGGUCUAGGCUACCAAAUGGGUUUGUGUUGAUCCAAGGAAGCGCUUCUGAAUCAAAACCUUUAAGAGGGCUCAGUCACACUAAUUUUGUUGCACUUUCUGUGAAAAAACUAACUUCAGAAUAUAUCAUUUUUUAUUUCACUCCCUCACACUCUUACACUUCCACUUUUACACACACAUACAGAUUCUUUUUGAGUCUUACAAUUAAACACAGCCUUGGAUUUUCCAUUGGGGUCUGUCUAUCUAUCAGCAGUGGUUUUAAUCCACAAAUGCCAGAAAUAGGUUAUCUAUUUGCCUCACGGAGACUUUACCAUGAAUAGUGGUGAUGUCAACCAGUGGAGUAACUAUGUGCACUAGGAUGUCACAUGCAGUGCCUUGCCGUGGAAACCUGCCCCUACUAAUCAAAGUGUUGAUGUGAUUGUAGUGUGAAUGGGCACCUAUUUGUCUAGCACACUCGCAUGAUAUCUGGCUGCGAAUCUGUAUACACAAUGUAUUACCUUGUCAUUUCCAAUCUCUUAUUUGCCUCAUCUCCAUUUCAUGUGUUGUAACUGCAUCCGUAUUAUUUGGGUCUCAACAGUUUUUCAUUGGUUGUGACUGCAUCAGUAUUAUUUGGGCUCACAGUUCUCUUGUUUUCUCUAUCUCUGUUUGCCGUUGGUAAUGGAACCACUUUAUCCCGUUGC